GAUGAACGCUGGCGGCGUGCCUAAUACAUGCAAGUCGAGCGAACAGACGAGGAGCUUGCUCCUCUGACGUCAGCGGCGGACGGGUGAGUAACACGUGGAUAACCUACCUAUAAGACUGGGAUAACUUCGGGAAACCGGAGCUAAUACCGGAUAAUAUAUUGAACCGCAUGGUUCAAUAGUGAAAGACGGUUUUGCUGUCACUUAUAGAUGGAUCCGCGCCGCAUUAGCUAGUUGGUAAGGUAACGGCUCACCAAGGCAACGAUGCGUAGCCGACCUGAGAGGGUGAUCGGCCACACUGGAACUGAGACACGGUCCAGACUCCUACGGGAGGCAGCAGUAGGGAAUCUUCCGCAAUGGGCGAAAGCCUGACGGAGCAACGCCGCGUGAGUGAUGAAGGUCUUCGGAUCGUAAAACUCUGUUAUUAGGGAAGAACAAAUGUGUAAGUAACUAUGCACGUCUUGACGGUACCUAAUCAGAAAGCCACGGCUAACUACGUG
rnacentral:rRNA from 1 species